UAUGCCUGAAUGCUAGGCCAAAUAUCAAAAAUGUUAUUCAUCGUGCCAAAUUCAUAACAUUGGAUCCAGAUGAGCCCUAGAAUCGGACAUUUUCGAUGGCAUCUCUGAGAAAUAUUUCGUAAUUGGUUGAUGCUCCGAUGGGAAAUAUGCGUGAGAGAAGUGUAGGCAGUUGCGCCGGAGGCGUUUCGAACUGAUUGCUAGCACGGAUAAACUGCUGAUCGUUUUCAGCCGAACCGAUCCUACUCCGGGAUGAUCCUCCUGCCGUACUGAUCCGAAGACAGUGCGUCCGGACACACUGCCGGAGCG